rnacentral:rRNA from 1 species
UACGUAGGGGGCAAGCGUUGUCCGGAUUUAUUGGGCGUAAAGAGCGUGUAGGCGGCUUCACAGGUCUGCUGUGAAAACUCGAGGCUCAACCUCGAGCUGUCGGUGGAAACCGUGUGGCUAGAGUCCGGAAGAGGAGAGUGGAAUUCCCGGUGUAGCGGUGAAAUGCGCAGAUAUCGGGAAGAACACCCGUGGCGAAGGCGGCUCUCUGGGACGGUACUGACGCUGAGACGCGAAAGCGUGGGGAGCGAACAGG